GCCUGGCAUGGUGGUGCACACCUGUAGUCCCAGCUACUUGGGAGGCUGAGGUAGGAGGAUUGCUUGAGUCCAGGAGGUCGAGACUGCAGUGAGCUGUGAUCUGGCCACUGCACUCCAGCCUGGGCAACAGAGCAGGACCCUGUCUCAA
rnacentral:SRP_RNA from 1 species